UCAUUAUUGUUGAUAAGCAUAGGUUGUAGAAUGGCGAUUUAGAGGAGCUGUCGUGGAUUGUUGUUUGUGCCUGAUGAAAGCUUGAUCAAAGCAAUCUGAAAACAAGUGCGAAUGUGACACUCCGAAAGUAUACAGUAUGCAGACAGUGCGUUUCUAUUGUUAUUUUAUUUGGAGCGUUUGGUGUUUGUUACAAGUUACCGCCGAUUAUGUCAAACUAUCACAUGAUGGACCAGUUGUAUUGGGUGGUACAAUCACUUUCAGAGCUGAUUUGUAUGAAGAUAACGGCAAACGACCACGAGGAAUGUACAGAUACAAAUGGCAAGAUAAUUCAUUAAGAAAGCAUGAAUAUCAGACUGAAGGAACAUCAGAUACUACAACAUUUUGGAGUUUAAGUUAUCCAAGACAAAAUAAUAUUCCUGGCAGAUAUAUCAUGGAGAUAGUAGUUGAAUAUCGUUUGUUUCCAUACUUGUGGACACAAGACACAAGCGCUCGUAUAGAAUUUGAAAUCUCUGAAUGCCUUAAUGGUAACAUAACUAUGGAACAAGGCAAUAAAACUAUAGCAGGAGAGUAUGUGUCAUCUGUGAAUGAAACAAAAUUAAUGAUAAACAUGCGUAAAGGAGAUUAUGAUUUCAUAAUGAAAAAUGCAACAUCUAUAGUGACAUAUUGGUUUGUCGAUUGCAAGUAUUAUGGGCAAACAAAUGAUUUCACCUUUGCAUAUAAUUUUACAAGUCCUGACACAACGCACGAAGUAGGAGCUUUAGUAGUUGUUUCAUACAUACCUCCAACAACUACAACCAUUUUACCACCUACUACUAUCACUACAACUAUACCCACUAACCUGACGACAGUUGCUCCGAAUAACAAUAUGACUCACCCAAAUGGAACUGUCACAACUGUAAUAACAACUGCAUCACCGACAACUGUCACAAUUGUAAAGACAACAACAGUGAAGCCCAUGACUACUGUAUCUCCAGUCAAUACAAGCACAGUAGAUGCUGCCAACAUGUCUUUGCCUUAUGUCUGUUCAAACGCGUCUCUCAUUCCACCGGAUCCCAACAAUACAUACGGAUAUUUUCAUAAGAAUAUAUAUGUCCGUGCUCCCGUAUCAAAUAUCUCAGUGGAUGGUACAAAUUGGAUUCAACCAUGGGACAUGUUGAAUUUGAAUGUGACAUGCAAAGGAUCAGGACCAUUUCACAAAUGUCUUUUGUUCUACCGUGGAAAAUACAAUAUAACCGGCAAUGAAACGUGCGACAACAAGGAACUCUUACACACCUGUAACUUCUCUAUCAUUCAUUAUUUUUUGGAGCCCGGUGUUUAUACGAUAUUAAUUGUAUUGAACAACGAAGUUAGCAUGCAUACUUAUCCAUUAACGAUAAAUAUUUACAAAGUUACGACAAAGCCACAGUUAUCAGUUAUCGUAGUGCCGGUGUCUUGUACGCUCGUGGCCGUGGUGCUGAUAGUAUUCGGUGUAGCAUACUACAUUCAAAGCAGAGCGAGGUUUACAGUGGAAGUUGCAGACUUCGACUUUGGGCAAAGUAAUCCAGAGAUGGAGUACAAAACGUUUGCGGAACGUUUACGUGAUUCAUUCAAUAACACUGUAAGACCCGGAGGCAAAGGAACUAUUGUACGACUACCCUAUUACGGCAGCAUGAAUCACUGAAAAAUCGUGCGAAUUAUGCGGCCUAUCGCUGUGUAAUCUUUCUGUUAUUUUAAAGUAUAGGGUAUAAACCACUUAGUAAUCCGCAAACGCAGUGACGCAUAAACAAGGAAUCAUUUUCUGAGGACGAGAAGCUACACUAAACUUGCUGUAGCAAGAAUAUUUGCGAGGAGUUGCAUUGCGGCAAUGUGUCUAACGGUAACAUUUCCAUGUAACACCGUUAGCAAAUUUCAUGGUAUUGGUGGCAAAGAGAUUCAUCUAAUCUCUCAUUGCUGCGAUUAAAUAGAUAUUAAGUAACUUCACUUGAGGAUCGACGUAUCAUAAAAAGGAAAAGAAAAGAAAAAGACAAAUCAUUGUGUGAUCUUACAAAAAAAUUUGCGGAUUGUUAGAUUAACGUUGUACAUAGGCGUGAAAGAAAUUAUGAAGAUGUAUAUAUAGGCUGUGAAUAUAUGUAGCGUACAAUAGUGUGGUAGAAUCGAUCUUACAUGAUACAUGAAAGAAUUUGAUAUUUUUUUAAGGUCCCAAACGAAAGUUAUUGAUUUAUAGCCUUUUUAUGAUUUGUCGUACGUCUUUGCUUUAAAUUGUUGUGUAGUUACUAUUAAUUAUAAUAUCCUGCAUUCUUUCUCUCUUUAUACUUACAUAGAAUGUUAGGUGAAAUUGUAUAUUAUAUUAGCUUAUGUUAUAGGAUUUUAUAGGAUUAUAUUAGCUUAUGUUAUAGGAUUUAUUAUAUAUUUGAUGCUUUUAUAAAUUCUUUGGUGAUCCUUUAGAAAAUUAUCGAUAUCCUACAUGUCAUAUUCCACAGGAUCACCGGUAAUUUUAUAAAGACACUAAUUAAUGUCUUUUCAUAUCUCUCUGUCUCUCUUAAUCAUUCACAUACCGUAACACACAAAUACGAACGAACACAGGCGGUAAUUGCUAAAUAAAAAUGCUUUAUUAAAAAGCAGAAUUAAAUUAUGACCAAAUUGUGGAAUUUUUUUAUAUGUGGUGUAUUAUAUUUAUAAUUCGUUGAUAAGUAAGUCUCUUUUAAAAGAUUUUCAACCAAGCACUUAGAUGGGCAGUUAUACUAUUACGAACGCUUAUACAAGAUACUAGAUUAGAGGAAUAGUUUAAUUCGAAAAAAGAAAAAAAUAUAUCGCAAUAUCGUGAUGCAAAAAUAUUGAUCUGCCACAUAUUUAAUGAGAAAGAACAAAAAUGUGUUAUGAACAUCACGUUAAGUAUCGUUUCCCGCAUUAUCAUCAUUCGGGCGAUUGUUGAUACAAGAUCGAUGCACGGAAUUUGUUUAGUCAUUGUUUAGUCAUACUAUAUGUAAACAUUUUAUUAAAAUUAUUGUAAGAUGCGUGCGUGCGUUGUAAAAUGAUGCUUUAAUUAAAGUGAUUGGUUUUAAUUAGCCAUAAUCUUUAUUAUAAUUUGAAUAUAACGUCGUUAUCGAAGUUAUACGAAUUUACAUUUUCAAAUGAUGCGAGACUCGCGCGACGAUUGUUAUUGUUUAUAACCCAGGACUUCGGUCCUAUAAGCCAAUCUUGCUAACCUAAUAAAAUAUCAUGGAAUUCCAUGCAAAGAAUGUCA